UAAUCCAUUUCCUCACAUGGGGAGAUGUUAAAAGACGGCUUCGGCUGUCACUACAGGAUGGGCCCGCGGCGCAUUAGCUAGUUGGUGAGGUAACGGCUCACCAAGGCGACGAUGCGUAGCCGACCUGAGAGGGUGAUCGGCCACACUGGGACUGAGACACGGCCCAGACUCCUACGGGAGGCAGCAGUAGGGAAUCUUCCACAAUGGACGAAAGUCUGACGGAGCAACGCCGCGUGAGUGAUGAAGGUUUUCGGAUCGUAAAACUCCGUUGUUAGGGAAGAACAAGUACGAGAGUAACUGCUCGUACCUUGACGGUACCUAACCAGAAAGCCACGGCUGACUACGUGCCAGCAGCCGCGGUAAUACGCGGGUGGCAAGCGUUGUCCGGAAUUAUUGGGCGUAAAGCGCGCGCAGGUGGUUCCUUAAGUCUGGUGUGAAAGUCCAUCGCUUAACGGUGGAUCCGCGCCGGGUACGGGCGGGCUGGAGUGCGGUAGGGGAGACUGGAAUUCCCGGUGUAACGGUGGAAUGUGUAGAUAUCGGGAAGAACACCAAUGGCGAAGGCAGGUCUCUGGGCCGUCACUGACGCUGAGGAGCGAAAGCGUGGGGAGCGAACAGGAUUAGAUACCCUGGUAGUCCACGCCGUAAACGGUGGAUGCUGGAUGUGGGGCCCGUUCCACGGGUUCCGUGUCGGAGCUAACGCGUUAAGCAUCCCGCCUGGGGAGUACGGCCGCAAGGCUAAAACUCAAAGAAAUUGACGGGGGCCCGCACAAGCGGCGGAGCAUGCGGAUUAAUUCGAUGCAACGCGAAGAACCUUACCUGGGCUUGACAUGUUCCCGACGACCGUAGAGAUACGGUUUCCCUUCGGGGCGGGUUCACAGGUGGUGCAUGGUCGUCGUCAGCUCGUGUCGUGAGAUGUUGGGUUAAGUCCCGCAACGAGCGCAACCCUCGCCCCGUGUUGCCAGCGGAUUAUGCCGGGAACUCACGGGGGACCGCCGGGGUUAACUCGGAGGAAGGUGGGGAUGACGUCAGAUCAUCAUGCCCCUUACGUCCAGGGCUUCACGCAUGCUACAAUGGCCGGUACAACGGGAUGCGACAGUGCGAGCUGGAGCGGAUCCCUGAAAACCGGUCUCAGUUCGGAUCGCAGUCUGCAACUCGACUGCGUGAAGGCGGAGUCGCUAGUAAUCGCGAAUCAGCAACGU
rnacentral:rRNA from 1 species